rnacentral:lncRNA from 1 species
GAGACUAUGUAAUGUGAAAUAAAUAAGACACACGUGUUUAAAUAUUGCAUGAUUUCUCUUAUAUGAUACCAAAAAUAUAAAGAACAAAAUAAACGAUGAUAAGAAAUAGAGAGAUAUUUUUAAAAAGGUAAGGAGAACAAGACAUGGAGGGAGAGGGGAGGAAUGGGAGAAGGGGAGAAAAACAAUUAAGAUGUGUUAUGUAUAUAUACCCACACCCCACAAUGAAUGUAUUCAUUACAUACUGCAAAUAUGUACUAAUAAAAAUAAAAAUUUCAAAAAAGCAGUAACUCAUGGUCCUACUUUACUAGCACAAAGCCACCAUCCCAGCUCUUAUAAAAAGCAGUAUCAGAAGAAAGAGCAAAUAAAAAUAAAUAAAUAAUACACUGCGUUGAUAUUUGUGUAACAAAAAAAGAGGGAGGAAGGGGAGAUUUAAGAGGGUGUGAGGGGCGUGUAAGUCAAAGCGGGGGAAAGGGAGUUUAAAUGUAACGUGAUGGAGGGCUCAGGGUACCUCGGUGUGGAAGGAAGAACGUUACCUGGACUUGGUAAUGACUAUGGAGGUCAGAGCAAUAAUCGGAUGCCUUCCUCUCAAUGUCUCACAAACACCCUCACCCCGACUUUCAAAAAGCAACACCAGAUAAAGAAAAGAAAAAACAAAAGCCCACGAAAACAAACAGUCCUCUCGCACACUACAGUCAGAACUGGACCAGGCCACUCUUUUCCUGUGUUCCAUACGAAGGGACCCUGCACGGCGGGGAGGCCGAGCCGCGGCCUGUGGUGCUGGCUGGGAGCUGGGUGUGCCCACCACGCUCCAGCUGGUUCCCUGCAAUCCACCUGUGCUCCUGUCUACCAAAGGCUAAAGGGGCUGGAGAAUGCCGACGGACCACCCAAACUGCCUCUCAUGCCCACAGGCGGCAGAGCGUUGCUGGAUUUCGGGCAGCUCCCCUACGUGUGCCCGGAUGGAAGCCUGGCCUCUGUCCUCUGACCAGGCGACCAGGCGCCUUCGAGUGGGUGGAGGUGGGCUGGGCACAGCGGGGCAGUCUGGCACCAGCCCGCUGUGCUCUGGAGCGGCUUCCCCUAUCUCAGUCCCCUUCCGUCCACACUGGUUCCUGCGGCCGUCUUCUUCUGCUCAUUCCAUGCCUUACGAGCACUGUGCUCUGCGCCAACCCUUCCGUGUCCCCUCUUCUCCAGGUUUUUCCACUGCAUCUUAAAACAAUGCCUCGUCGUAAAUCAGCACGCGCCGUAAAUCACUGCUUCAUUUUACGUCUAUGCCUCGCCACCUGUCUGCUUUUCAUCAGUGUCGUGGUGGCCACUGGCAGAAAAGGACUCCUUGCUUAUUGGGCCAUCCCCAGGGCAACGGGGCAGCUAGUCUCUCUGGAUUUCACCUGGAUACGUCCACUCUCGGGCUGUGAUCUCCUGAAUUUCGGUCUCCUUCCAGAGUCCCACAGGGGCAAUUCACCAGAAUUAGAAGAGACAAUUCUUUGGAAAUGCCAGAGAUCACACUGAACUUCCUUUUGGCAGGCUAACAUGUUUCAGCCAGUCACUCUGAGGAAUUAGAUACUAACAGAACCCUUUUGGAAGUCAGGUCACCUGAUAUUAAAUCGUGUCCUCUUUAGUGGGUGUUUCUACUUCUUCCAUGAAGAAACAAGUGCCAACAUCAAUAUGUCCAAUAAGGAUUCUUUUGCUCAGUUCAGAAGGAAAUCAUGAAUCAGUAAAGUAUUGUUCUCAGCUCCUAGUUCCAGUGGCCUUUGGUCCUUACAGUUACACAUCUCAGCAGCUCCGAGCUGUCCUAUCAGCUCUUCAGCAGCUGAGGUUUCCAGGCCCCCUUUGGCAGCUUUUUGGAUUUCUUCCACCAGCUUCUCCUGCCUCUUUGGGAUACUCCACAGAUCCAUUCAAGUCUCCCCUGUUGUCUACCAGUUGCCACAGCCAGUUGGUGCUGGCUGGUGACAGUUACCAUCAGUAGAUGCUGCUAGUCUCUUCUCGUCUCUGUGGCUGGUUGCUGCAUCGCGAUCUUCAUCCGUUGCUGCUGGUCUCUAGCACUCUUCCAGGCUAGCAGCCCGGAGUGUUACCAACUCUUUUCAGUGCAACCUGCUCUGUGCACAUUACCUGCUAAGAAUCAUGAGUAGUUUUAAGGACCACAGGAAUGAGACUUUAUUUGGAAUUGUGUUGCCACACAAACUGGUGGACACUGGAAGGUGCCCUCCUGGACUAAUCCAGGGGCCAUGAGGGAGCACUGCUACAGAAGGGCAGCAGACCACACAUGAUCAGUUUUGUACAUUUCUCAGACCUGCUUGAGAACUUUGUAGACAUGGGGGUGGGGAGGCAAAGGAUAAACAGGAGCCAUCAGGAGUGGCUGCAGGGCGGAGUCAUCUGGGAUUGGUCUGAGUUUCAAGCCUGCUGAGGCCUCAGCAAAUACCUCCUGGAAGAGCUGCAGGGCACUUAGGAGCACUCUGGCGGUUCUGAACUUUAGGACCAGAGGCUGCUUGAUUGACAAUUGUUGCCUCUUCUUGAAGAUAGUGGGGCUGAAAUUGAGACUUUCACCAAUUUUGAGAAUUCUUUAGCAGGAUUAGCCAUGUUCAUCAUAUCCUAUUAGGGUUUAGCAAUUUUGGGGAAAUUCACAAUGAGGCUAGUCCCUGCUCCAUCUUUGCCCUGUCAGGCAUGGUUUCUCAGCUGCCUUUCAAAGAGGGAGCAGCAAUUCCUGGAGCUGGGGAGGACAGCUGUCAUUCAAGCUGUGACUCCUGUGGACCUGGCCAGAGGGUGGCCGCCACAGCAGCCACAGAGGUGGUGGCCUCCUGGAGCUAAUCACCCCAGACCACCCUGGAAUAGGCACCAGGGAAGGCAAGGGGGGAGUGUGACAAGCUGCCAGUUGGAUUAUGCCUCCACCCGGCUGACACAGGGAAAAGAGAGGUGUCGGACCUCAUUUCUUUUUCAUCUCAGAAAUAGUUCAUUUUUAAUUGCCCCUCCAUUUCUUGAUUUUUAGGAAUUAUAACCAAGACCUGACACCCAGCCCUUGAAAAAUGAUGAAAGCAAGAAGAAGAAUACAUGACAGGAGUAAAAUGUGGGUUCUAAAGUAUGAAUCACUUGGGAGUUACGUGGAUAUUAAAAUUUUAUUAGCUCAUUCAAUAGAGUAAUUCCUAAAAUAUAUUUUCAGACUACAAGUUAAUUCUUGAAAAAUGAAUUAGAUCAUUUAUAUUGCAAGAUCCUUUAUAAAAUAUUUAAAAUUUUAAUUCCUAUUAAAUUUAGGAAAAGGGUCAUACUUCCCCUAUUUCUUUUUUUUUUUUUUUUUUCCAGUACUGGGGAUCAAACUCAGGACCUUACGCUUGCAAGGCAGGUGUGGUGCCACUGAUCUAAAUCCCUAGCUCUAGUUUUUAUUCUGAAUAUACACUGCCAAUUAUCAUUGUAUUGUAUGUUUUAAAUAAAUAUCCAUACCAUUUCUCCUCAUUCUUUUAGAAGCCAUAGUGACAGGUACCUCUUUUCAUAAACUUGUUUUUUGCAUCCAAACCUGUGAGCAAAUGAAAACUUUUUCUUGUUAUAAGUUGAUCAUGUCAUGUAUGUGCUAUACUGGCAGCAAGCUAACACAUUAUCUUUCAUAGAUGAGGAGAUGGAGCUCUAAAAUAAUCAGUCACCUGCUCAAGGUCACAUAGAUCCUGCCUUCACAGCCUCAAGUAGAAGGAUUACCCACCAGAACCAAAUCAAAAAAUGCUUUUAUAUAUANNNNNNNNNNNNNNNNNNNNNNNNNNNNNNNNNNNNNNNNNNNNNNNNNNNNNNNNNNNNNNNNNNNNNNNNNNNNNNNNNNNNNNNNNNNNNNNNNNNNUUUUUUCAAGAUGUACCUUGAUCAACAAGAGAUCAACAAGUAGUCACACCAAAUCAAAUUUUGGGAUUUUUUUUUCACUCUGAGUUUAUUUCAAAUGUGAAUUUCAGAAGAUGUGCAAUGUUGCUUUUGUGUCUUUGCAUCUCACUGUUUUUAACAUUUACAAUACGGUAUGAUCUCAAAUACAUUUAAGAAUGAAGUAGAAUUUUUUUCUUCUAAAGUAGUCAUUCAUUUUCUUUUAAUUGCUUUUCUAUAUAUCAAAUUACUUCCAGUUACCAUUAAAUCUCAUAAUGCCCAUCUGUGUAAAUACAUAUAGAUACUAUGCCAAAGAACUAUAAAACAGGGAGAAAUCCUUUUGGCAUUCACUAAGAUUUUCCAUUUCCUUUGAAUUUGAUUUUCCUUCUCUACUAAGCAAAAAUGAAAGCAUAUAAUUAGCUAAUUUGAUAUUCAGGGUUAAAUUUGCUAUUUUAUUUUCUAUAUUAAUUUCCUCCAACAUAUCUGUGGCCUCCAUUUUUAUGAAGAAGCAGCUCAUCCCAAUGAUAUUUAAACACUAAUUAUUUCCCUUUAAUGUCUGAAAAGGAGCACACACUCAAAUUUUAACUUUCCAGUUUUUUCUCUUUUAUUCCCCAUGGUGUUCUCAAGCCGAUUAAAUUACGUGCAGAAGAUGAUGCUGAGUUUGCUCACACAGCCUGCCAAAACAAACUCCUGCUAAAAUAGUAUGUCUACUUAUGUCUCACUAAGUAAACUAGCGCUCCUGAAGUUUUAUAAUUUGGUAUUAGAACUAAAAUUAAAAUGGUGUCUGGAAAUGUCAGACUGUUAAAUGAUACAUAUGAUGUCAUCUUACAAAAUUCCUCUACUUUAAUGUUACUUUGCUUGCCAAUUACUGUAUUGAAAAUUACUGUGUAUUAAGAACCUACAGAGUCAGCCAUAAAGAAUGAGAAACUAGCUAAAUGGAUGCACACUGAGGCCAUACUCUGAAGUGAAAUAAAUAGGACAAGCAUGUAAAUACUGAAUAGUUUCUCUGGUGUGAGAAACUGAAAGUGUAAAUAAGGAUUAAAAUGAAUAUUUGAUCAUGUGAAAUAGGAAGAAAAGGUGCAAAGAAAAGGGGAAGUCAGAAGAAGGGAAAGGAAAAAAUAUGAUAAAAGGAAAAAAAGGAAAUAAAGUCUUUGUAAAUAGGGAAAGGUGGAGGGGCUGAAGGGAGGGCAGGGGAAUGGGGAAAAAAUAAGAACAAAGAUACUCAUGUACAGGUACAAGCACCCAAUGAU